rnacentral:lncRNA from 1 species
UUUUUUUGUUUUUUUUUUUUUUUUUUGGCAAUGCCUGAAUUUCUUUAAACUAACAUUAUAGCACAAAGUGGGAAACAUGUUCUGUGGCUUUAGGCACAAGAACUUUGUCCCAUGGGAGGAAAUCCAAGAGGGCAAAUGCUUAUGGUCCAACCAUCCACAGGGGAGCUGUGUGUGUGUGUGUGUGUGUGUGUGUGUCGUGUGUGUGUGUGUGUGUGUGUGUGUGUGUGUGUGUGUGCAGUGAUUUGGGCAAUAACGUGCCAGCUGUGUUGGAGAAAGAGCUAGACAGGAGAAGAAAGAUAAUCUAGAUGUACUUCAGUCUUUUUCCCUGGGGCCCAGCCCAGACAUCUAUGCACUGUGGUUGCUCCUUAAGCACAGGCCACCUUAUUAGAUUGGUCUUUCCCUUGCCUCCUUGCUUUUGGAAGACACCACCUCAUCCCCUACCAUUCUCCCCAUGAAAUAAACAAGUUACACUUGGUGUCAAGGAUUAAUGCUUUAUACCAGCAGCGACAGCUACUAGAUAGAGUGGCAAAGUAAGCCCACUGGGCCCUGCAAAUAACCAAGGAGCAGAACUCCCAGAGCGAGACAAAGUUCAGAAGGUGAAGGGCCUAUUGGGUGCCUCCCAGUUUGUCCAUUUCAUUACCCUGUCAGUCUCCAUGGGUUUUUAGUUUUAUUUUUGUCUGUUUUCUUGUUUGUUUUGCCAUCAUUUUAAAGCAUCUGUCUGUUCAAAUGGUAGCAAAGCAGCCAAAUGAUUUUAAAUAGCCAAAGGGUACUACUAGAUCUUUGAAGUAAUAUUAAACAAAUACAGCUUAUAAACUUCCUUAGGGUAAGACUACCCUUGUAUCUUCUUUGAGGAAUAAAGUGAGAGGUGAGAAUAAACAGAACGAGAAGUGGGCUCAACACUGAGUAUGAUCAAAUCGGAGCUAAAGCUGCCAGCCUACACCACAGCCACACCAGAUUCGAGCCAUGUCUGUGACCUAUGCACAGCUCACGGCAACGCAACGCUGUAUCCUUAACCCACUGAGCAAGGCCAGGGGUCAAACCUGCAUCCCCAUGGAUCCUAGUCAGGUUCGUUAACUGCUGGGCCACAAAGGGAACUCCCAAAAAAGACUAUUUUUAUGAGUUUCUUCAUUAACUUAUUUACUCGUGUAAUAAGUAAUGUGUGCUAAAAAUAAUGUUUUUGAAACCAAGAAUAGUUGAAACAAAUCACUGAUUUUUUAAAAAGCCACGAAGUAUGAAUAAAGAUUGUUUUAUGCAGUAAUUUACUUAGUUAUAAAUUGUUAUGUUCAAUGAGAAAUUCUAAUUAAAGUAAUAAAACAGACCAGUGUAUUAAAUAAAUAAAUAAUGAAUAAAUAAAUAAAGUGUGAAGAACAUAGUAGCUUUGACCAGACAGACAAGGUCUUUGAACCCUGGGAAGGUGAUUUACCUCUAAGUCUCAAGUUCAUCAACUGUAAAAUGGGAACAAUAGUAAAUUUCUGCUGAUCUUCAGAUUCACACACUGGGCUAGUCAAAAUCAUUCUUAUUUAAAUGAUACCUAAGUCCCUCAAGCUCAGCACGUCUAAACCUGUGGACCUAUACAACCUAUUCCAGAGUUCUCUGUUCCCCACACAGCCAUAAAUCCCAGCUGUACUAAAUAUAUCACUUCUCUUCUUUUUACCCACCCAUGCUGAUCCAGUCACCAAAGUCCUCCUAUUUAAAAAGGAGUAUUAUGCAGUCAUUAAAAAUAAGACUGGGGAUGGAGUUCCCAUUGUGGCACAGCAGAAAUGAAUCUGACUAGUAUCCAUGAGGAUAUGGGUUCAAUCCCUGGCCUUGAUCAGUAGGUCAGGGAUCUGGCAUUGCAGUGAGCUGUGGUGUAGGUUGCAGAUGAGGCUCAGAUCUGGCAUUGCUGUGGCUGUGGUGUAGGCCAGCUGCUGUGGUUCCAAUUCAGUCCCUAGCUUGGGAACUUCUAUAUGCCAUGGGUGGGGCCCAAAAAAGCAAAAAAAUAAUAAUAAUAACAAUAAGACUGAGGAGGAGUUUCCGCUGUGGCACAGAGAGUUAAGGAUCUGGCAUUGCAGAAGCUGUGGCAUAGACUGCAGCUGUGGCUCGGACUUGAUCCCUGGCCCCGGGAACUUCCAUAUGCCACAGGUGUGGCGGAAAAA